CAACUUCUGCAGACAUAGAUUUUGUUGCUCUGUCAAAUGCAGAUAGUGAUGCAGACACUUCAGAGGAUCAUCCAAAAGUAGUCGAACAUAAAAUAGCUUCAGUUUUACUAAAGUUGGAAAACUGUUUUUAUGUUUCGUCUACAGCAAUUGAAUUACUUGAUGAACUGCACUUCCUGUUAAGUACUGCCCUUACAAAAAAUAACUGCAGUAAAUUGAAGUACAAUAAGUAGUAUAAAUGCAGUACAAUGAAGUACAACUGGACAAUUGCAAUAUAAUGAAGUAUAUAACUGCAGUUCAUUAAAGUUCAAGAGCAGUAAAGCUGAAGUGCAAUGAAGUGCAACUGUAGAUUUGCAGUAUAAUGAAGUACAGAUACAAUAUAACUGCAGUUCAGUGAUACGCUGAAAUGCAGGUGAAAAUUUCAGAUGCAAAAACUUCUAAGUCUGUCUGAUUAAAUUAAUUUAAUUGUAUUUUUUUUUUUUUAUGAGCUUUUUUUUUUUAAAUAAAGCUCCUAUGAUUAGGUUCAGUAAUUUCACUUUAAUGGCAAUGAGGUUCUUUUCAUUGCCAAUAAAGUCUUCUUGUAUAGACGGUUUCAUCGGGCGCAUGCGCCUGGCCUAAAUUAACUUCCGGUGUGUGUUUGUUUAUAGGUUUGGCUACAAACGCAGUUAAAGUUAAAGUGAUGAGUAAUGAAGUUGGGCUGUGGGUUUUAUUUCCCAUACAGUUAUUUAUUUCUGGCAACCUGCCACGAUAUCAAAACUGACCGAUUUUCCAAAAGACUUUGUUGAAUAAACACGUACUGCACGUUUAAAAAUCAAAACAAGGCGCUGGUGUUUUUAUAUCACUGUAUUUCUGAAGGAAGACUGUCUUGUCAUUUUCAUUUCAUCUUGCAUGUUAUAUGCUAUGAUUUAUCAUUUGGGUAGUUGUUUUGAGAGUUUGAUUUAUUAUUUGAUCUUUUUAGAUAUUUUAAUUUUGUUAGGAAAAAACGUCCAUAAUAUGCCUGAUAAAGCAGCGUUUGUGAGCAGAGCUCUGCUUUGUGUAGUGUUAUCGGGAAACCUCUCUUUCUCCCGCUUUAAAGCACCUCCUGCUGGCAGUGAAUGAAUUUGCAUUUUCAAUAAGUCAGUUACGCAGCAAAAAUAUUUUGCUUAUAAAAAAUAAUCUACUCAAGAGGGAUUCAAGCUGUUGAUUAGAUUUGGAAGUCUACCGGAAGUUAAGUUAGGGCCACAAAAGUGCGCAUGCGCAGUAACGUUUGUUUAUGUUGUUGCCGUUGAAACCGUCUUAUAGGCCCUGUACUGCAGUUAUGCUGUAUUGUGCAACAUGUAGAAGUGCUGUGGUUACAGUAGACUUGGCAAGUGUUUUUUUUUUUUUUGUAACGUUGGCUUCCUAUAAAAUAUUCGUACAAAAAUAUUUUUGUACAAAAAAAUAUUUGCCUAUGGAAUAUUUCACCCGCAUCGAUUAAUAACCCGCACGUGAGAUCUUCCUUCGCGCCCAGAGAAACGGCUCUGUUCGCGCCAAAGGUCGUUGUCCUGACAACGAGUCUCGCGAGCAGCGGAUUAAGUAACCGACAGUAAAUCAGCGUCUUUUCCGUAGUGUCUGCUGCAGGAUGGAUGUAAAGUAUAAAACACGUUUUGGUUUGACAACAUCGUUCAUAUGUGAACUAUCACAAUUAAAGCACAAAGAUAUAACAUUUCACUCCGAGACCUUUCACAAGUGCGACAAAAGAGAAGAAACGCUUUCCGGAAGAAGUUCAUCAGGAGAGGUGGAGACUAGUCGACUCAUCCAGUUUAGCGGAAAAUGCACUGGUAACAACUAAAAAAAGACGACCAAAAAUAUAAUUCAACAGAGGGUGAUGGCUGUGGUGAAACAAGCACUCAAAUAAUGAAACUAAGACCAGUGGGAGUGCUGGAGAAAUCAAGUGUAUAAGUCCUCUGUCUCCUCAGCCAUGGAAGAGAUCUUCAGACAUGAAGAGAUCGAGGAGUUAAAUGAAAUCAAAGAGCUAAAAGAAGAUUUACAAUACUACUGCCAUUUCAGCAUGAAAACAGAGAGAGAGCUGAGGGAAUGGAAAAGUAAAGAAAUGUAGUUAUAACAGCAAUUAUUCUCAAUGCUUAACUUCCAGUCAAAUUGUACUCCACAAACAUUAAAGGGUUAGUUCACCCAAAAAUGAAAAUUCUGUCAUUAAUUACUCACCCUCAUGUUGUUCCAAACCCAUAAUACCUUUGUUCAUCUUCAAAACACAAAUUAAGAUAUUUUUGAUGAAAUCUGAGAACUUUCUGACCCCUCUCUAUA